rnacentral:tRNA from 1 species
CGCGGGGUGGAGCAGUCUGGUAGCUCGUCGGGCUCAUAACCCGAAGGUCAUAGGUUCGAAUCCUAUCCCCGCAA